UACUCGAGUGGCGAACGGGUGAGUAACACGUGGGUGAUCUGCCCUGCACUUCGGGAUAAGCUUUGGAAACUGGGUCUAAUACCGGAUAGGAGCCAUCUUUAGUGUGGUGGUUGGAAAGUUUUUUCGGUGUAGGAUGAGCUCGCGGCCUAUCAGCUUGUUGGUGGGGUAAUGGCCUACCAAGGCGGCGACGGGUAGCCGGCCUGAGAGGGUGUACGGCCACAUUUGGACUGAGAUACGGCCCAG
rnacentral:rRNA from 1 species